rnacentral:rRNA from 1 species
GUUGGCCUCGGAUCAGGUGGGGAUACCCGCUGAACUUAAGCAUAUCAAUAAGCGGAGGAAAAGAAACCAACAGGGAUUGCCUCAGUAACGGCGAGUGAAGCGGCAACAGCUCAAAUUUGAAAUCUGGCGCAAGCCCGAGUUGUAAUUUGCAGAGGAUGUUUCGGGUGAAGCCACGGUCCAAGUCCCUUGGAACAGGACGUCAUAGAGGGUGAGAACCCCGUACCUGGCCGUCGGUGCCCCCCGCUGUGAAACUCCUUCGACGAGUCGAGUUGUUUGGGAAUGCAGCUCUAAAUUGGUGGUAAAUUCCAUCUAAAGCUAAAUACCGGCCAGAGACCGAUAGCGCACAAGUAGAGUGAUCGAAAGAUGAAAAGCACUUUGAAAAGAGAGUUAAAAAGUACGUGAAAUUGUUGAAAGGGAAGCGCUUGCGGCCAGACUUGCCCGCGGUUGCUCAGCCCGCCUUUUGGCGGGUGCACUCUUCCGCGGUCAGGCCAGCAUCGGUUUGGGCGGCCGGAUAAAGGCGCCGGGAACGUGGCCUCCCCUCGGGGAGGUGUUAUAGCCCGGCGUGCAAUGCGGCCAGCCCGGACCGAGGUUCGCGCUCUGCUAGGAUGCUGGCGUAAUGGCCGUAAGCGGCCCGUCUUGAAACACGGACCAAGGAGUCUAACAUCUAUGCGAGUGUUUGGGUGUCAAACCCGUGCGCGUAAUGAAAGUGAACGGAGGUGGGAACCGCAAGGUGCACCAUCGACCGAUCCUGAUGUCUUCGGAAGGAUUUGAGUAAGAGCAUAGCUGUUGGGACCCGAAAGAUGGUGAACUAUGCGUGAAUAGGGUGAAGCCAGAGGAAACUCUGGUGGAGGCUCGCAGCGGUUCUGACGUGCAAAUCGAUCGUCAAAUUUGCGUAUAGGGGCGAAAGACUAAUCGAACCAUUUAGUAGCUGGU